rnacentral:rRNA from 1 species
GUGAGGAAUUUUCCGCAAUGGGCGCAAGCCUGACGGAGCAAUACCGCGUGGAGGAGGAAGGCCCGUGGGUCGUAAACUCCUUUUCUCAGAGAAGAACACAAUGACGGUAUCUGAGGAAUAAGCAUCGGCUAACUCCGUGCCAGCAGCCGCGGUAAUACGGAGGAUGCAAGCGUUAUCCGGACUGAUUGGGUGUAAAGCAUCUGUAGGCGGUUUUGGAAGUCUACGGUUAAAUCCCAGAGCUUAACUUUGGUUCAGCCGUAGAGUACUUCAAAGCUUGAGUAUGGUAGGGGUAGAGGGAACUUCUCGUGGAGCGGUGAAAUGCACAGAGAUGAGAAGGAACACCAGUGGCGAAAGCGCUCUACUGGGCCAUGACUGACGCUGAGAGAUGACAGCUGAGGGAGCGAAUAGGAUUAGAUACCCUAGUAGUCUCAGCCGUAAACGAUGGAUACUAGAUGUUGCCACAAGCAGUGUCGAAGCUAACGCGUUAAGUAUCCCACCUGGGGAGUACGUACGCAAGUA